AUGUAUUGUAACAUAUUAAGUAGUAUGUAGUAUGGGCUUAGAGGUGUGGCUUGAAGCUGCUCUUCCAAGCCUUCUAACUAUUAAAAUAAAAUUAUUUGGGUCCACUAUAAAUGGGAGAACUAUUAUGGUCACCAUAGCAACUUAAGUUAGAUGAAGUUGCUCUAGUGAGCAUUGUGUUUUUUAAGGUCAAUAAAAAAAAAAAAUGAAAAGCAUGACUCAAUGAGAGGGUUAUGUAGAACAGGAGUGCCCAUAAG